rnacentral:rRNA from 1 species
GUGUCAGCCGCCGCGGUAAUACGUAGGGUGCAAGCGUUGUCCGGAAUUAUUGGGCGUAAAGAGCUCGUAGGCGGUUUGUCGCGUCUGCUGUGAAAACUCGGGGCUUAACUCCGGGCCUGCAGUGGGUACGGGCAGACUAGAGUGCGGUAGGGGAGACUGGAAUUCCUGGUGUAGCGGUGAAAUGCGCAGAUAUCAGGAGGAACACCGGUGGCGAAGGCGGGUCUCUGGGCCGUAACUGACGCUGAGGAGCGAAAGCGUGGGGAGCGAACAGGAUUAGAUACCCUGGUAGUCC